UGAUCCUGGCUCAGGGUGAACGCUAGCGGUGCGCCUAACACAUGCAAGUCGAACGCGCUGUCCCAUGAACCUUUGAAGAGCUUGCUCGGAUUUGAUGAUUGGAUUUUGCAGCGAGUGGCGAACGGGUGAGUAACACGUUGGCAUCUGCCCCCAAGUCAGGGAUAGCCCAGGGAAACCUGGAUUAAUACCGGAUGUGCUCUUCGGAGUAAAGAUUUAUCGCUUGGGGAGGAGCCUGCGUACUAUCAGCUUGUUGGUAAGGUAACGGCUUACCAAGGCUAUGACGGUUAGCUGGUCUGAGAGGAUGACCAGCCACAAUGAAACUGAGACACGGUUCAUACUCCUACGGGAGGCAGCAGUGAGGAAUCUUCCACAAUGGACGAAAGUCUGAUGGAGCGACACCGCGUGAAGGAUGACGGUCUAACGAUUGUAAACUUCUUUUCUGAGGGAGCAUAAUGAGAGUACCUCAGGAAUAAGGGACGGCUAAUUACGUGCCAGCAGCCGCGGUAAUACGUAAGUCCCAAGCGUUACCCGGAAUUAUUGGGUGUAAAGGGUCCGUAGGCGGAUUUUUAAGUCAGGUAUGAAAGACCGAGGCUCAACCUCGUGUUUGUACUCGAAACUGAAAAUCUUGAAUCAGGGAGAGGUAAGCGGAAUUCUCAGUGUAGGGGUGCAAUCCGUAGAUACUGAGAGGAACACCAAAAGCGAAGGCAGCUUACUGGAACUGUAUUGACGCUGAGGGACGAAAGCGUGGGGAGCAAAGAGGAUUAGAUACCCUCGUAGU
rnacentral:rRNA from 1 species